GUGUGAAAAUAUGUGAUGCUUAUACUUGUUAGCUGUGUGUCUAAUUAUAAGGUUUGAGAACAUAAUAUGUUUAUAGAAAGAAAACCUUGAGAAACUGAAGAUAAUGAAACACCUGCAAAUUUAGGGACAUGAGGCUUC